AUUGAACGCUGGCGGCAGGCCUAACACAUGCAAGUCGAACGAGUGGCGGACGGGUGAGUAAUGUCUGGGAAACUGCCCGAUGGAGGGGGAUAACUACUGGAAACGGUAGCUAAUACCGCAUACCAUCGGAUGUGCCCAGAUGGGAUUAGCUAGUAGGUGGGGUAACGGCUCACCGAGGCGACGAUCCCUAGCUGGUGUGAGAGGAUGACCAUCCUCACUGGAACUGAGACACGGUACAGACUCGACCAAGAACCAUCAAUUUAAAAUAUUGCACAAAUGGCGCAAGCCUGAGUCAGCCAUGCCGCGUGUAUGAAGAGACCCUUCGGGUUUUAAAGUACUUUCAGCGGGGAGGCGUUACCCGCAGAAGAAGCACCGGCUAACUCCGUGCCAGCAGCCGCGGUAAUUC
rnacentral:rRNA from 1 species